rnacentral:lncRNA from 1 species
AUAGCAGUGUGUUAUGCAUCAACAGCAGCAACAGCUUUUCCAGGUUCUGCAGUCAUCUGAACAAAACUGUAGAGACAUCCAGCACACUCCAUUAAAAAAAAAAAAAAGUAAAAAAACAAAACCCGAGAAAACAGCACAGUUCUGUUACUCUUGUGGUACCUGGCACCAUUUUUUUUUUUAAAUUAGCUUCUCAAUCAUCAUCUGGAAAGAAAACAUUCUGAGCAACAUCAUUAAAAACAGCUCUGAUAAAGCACGGUCACUACUACGUAUCAUAAAGCAGGUACAAGCUAUUUUACAUCCACAGAGGUAUGAUACAGUACUGUCCUACAUCUAUAAUACUAGAGGAUACAAUUUAAAAGGCAUUAUUUGAGACUUGAUUCUACUUUUCCAGCAGAGGGCCCAAAGGAUGGUGUGACACAGCUUUGUAAAGAAACAUACUCUAGACAGGAUUUCCUUUCACUAGUGGCACAGUUCUAAGGAUUCAUUCUCUCCAUGAAUGUCAGCUAAAACCGUUAUUAAAAAAAUGAAAUAUCCCUAGAACAAAACCGUAUAACCACCGGAUUCACAUGAAGAUGACCUAGUGGAGACAAGCUGGACCUCACCUUACCAACAAGCUAUCAAAUCUGUUAUGUUUAAACAGUGAGACCUCCAAGGAAGGAGAUGCCAAGUAGUGCUUCAAAGCUUCGGACCACAAUCAAACACAGCAUCCUUUUCAACAGAAGCAGAAGCUCAUCUGAAUAUGCUCAUGGAUGCUGACAUCAACAUUUAAUCAUCUCCUCACUCAUCCAGGAAGAGGGGGAGAUCAGUUACUACUGUACUUUAAUGUGUUCAACCAAAUCACCAUAUUACAAAAAUAGCAAGCUGCCAUAAUAAAAAAUAAGGCUCCUCUAUCCAGC